rnacentral:rRNA from 1 species
GACGAACCGUGCGAACGUUAUUCGGAAUCACUGGGCUUAAAGGGCGCGUAGGCGGGUUGCCAAGUCUGUGGUGAAAUCCUCCAGCUUAACUGGAGAACGGCCGUGGAUACUGGCGACCUCGAGGGGGGUAGGGGCAUGCGGAACUGUAGGUGGAGCGGUGAAAUGCGUUGAUAUCUACAGGAACUCCGGUGGCGAAAGCGGCGUGCUGGACCUUUUCUGACGCUGAGGCGCGAAAGCUAGGGGAGCAAACGGGG